UCCUUAUGAUGAUAUUCAUAAUUAUACAGUUCUGCUUCUGAUAUAUCGUGAAGUAACAAUUACCAAACUCAAGUCUGAUGU
rfam:Rhizophagus irregularis DAOM 181602 strain DAOM 197198 GLOINscaffold_17033_Cont16978, whole genome shotgun sequence.